rnacentral:lncRNA from 1 species
AGCUUUGUACGCAGAGCCUCUCAAAUGCAUAAUGGUAGAGACUAGUGAUGGUCUCAUUGAGGUUUCCAAAGCAACCUCGUUAGUUGAAUCGUUUGAAGUGAUGAUGGUCGAAACUACUGAAGGUUUCAUAAAUAAGGCCGAAAGGAGGUCCGAGUCGGCCUAUCCCCAACCAGGAGAAAGCUUAUCAGACUUCCAAGAGAAGUGUAAGGAAAAUGGGUUAAAAGCUCUGCUAUACCCAAAGUGCAGUGCGGUGUUCGACGAGAAAAC